GUGGUGGCUCAGUGGCAGAGAACUUGCCUCAAACGUAUGAGGCACUGGGUUCGAUCCUCAGUACUACG
rnacentral:tRNA from 1 species